rnacentral:rRNA from 1 species
CAGUAGCCGCGGUAAUGCGUAGGUGGCAAGCGUUGUCCGGAAUUAUUGGGCGUAAAGGGCUCGCAGGCGGUUUCUUAAGUCUGAUGUGAAAGCCCCCGGCUCAACCGGGGGGGGUCAUUGGAAACUGGGAAACUUGAGUGCAGAAGAGGAGAGUGGAAUUCCACGUGUAGCGGUGAAAUGCGUAGAGAUGUGGAGGAACACCAGUGGCGAAGGCGACUCUCUGGUCUGUAACUGACGCUGAGGAGCGAAAGCGUGGGGAGCGAACAGGAUUAGAUACCCCGGUAGUCCCUGUCUCUUAUAC